rnacentral:rRNA from 1 species
AGCGAACGCUGGCGGCAGGCUUAACACAUGCAAGUCGAGCGGGCAUCCUUGUGGUGUCAGCGGCAGACGGGUGAGUAACGCGUGGGAACGUGCCCUUCGGUUCGGAAUAACUCAGGGAAACUUGAGCUAAUACCGGAUACGCCCUUCUGGGGAAAGGCUUGCUGCCGAAGGAUCGGCCCGCGUCUGAUUAGCUAGUUGGUGAGGUUACGGCUCACCAAGGCGACGAUCAGUAGCUGGUCUGAGAGGAUGAUCAGCCACACUGGGACUGAGACACGGC